GACAGAGGGUGCAAACGUUGUUCGGAAUUACUGGGCGUAAAGCGCGUGUAGGCGGCGACGCAAGUCGGAUGUGAAAGCCCAUGGCUCAACCAUGGAAGUGCACCCGAAACUGCGUCGCUAGAGUCUCGGAGAGGAAGGUGGAAUGCUUGGUGUAGAGGUGAAAUUCGUAGAUAUCAAGCGGAACACCGGUGGCGAAGGCGGCCUUCUGGACGAGUACUGACGCUGAGACGCGAAAGCGUGGGUAGCAAACAGGAUUAGAAACCCCCGUAGUCC
rnacentral:rRNA from 1 species